UCCCACACCACGAAUAUAAGAUCUACUCUUAUGAAGCUCAAUCUUCUGGAGGAUGGAAUGGUUUCUAUGGUACGCAUGAACAUGCUGUUAGCAGGUGGAAAAAACAUUUCGUCUGACAUCAUGGCACUGGUAUCCCCCCUUUCCUGAAAGAGGCUCCGUCUUCCUCCCAGUUUUGUGUGAGGCUUUCACAUACCAUGGCUGUUGCUAAUAAAAUGG